GACGAACGCUGGCGGCGUGCUUAACACAUGCAAGUCGAACGAAGUGGCGAACGGGUGAGUAACGCGUAAUCAACCUGCCCUUCCGAGGGGAACAACAGUUGGAAACGACUGCUAAUACCGCAUACUGAAGGAGGGGAUUGCGUCUGAUUAGCUAGUUGGAGGGGUAACGGCACACAGAGGCGAUGAUCCGUAGCCGGUCUGAGAGGAUGAACGGCCACAGUGUGACGGAGACACGGCCCAGACUCCGACGGGAGGCAGCAGUGGGGAAUAUUGCACAUGGGGCGCAAGCCUGAUGCAGCCAUGCCGCGUGUAUGAAGACGGCCCUAGGGUUGUAAAGUACUUUCAGUCGGAAGCGUUACCGACAGAAGAAGCACCGGCUAACUCCGUGCCAGCAGCCGCGGUAAUAC
rnacentral:rRNA from 1 species